GUGGGAAGUACUCACAUAUGACAAAUGGUGAUUGGUAUAUAGAUGCGCUGAGCUGGUAAUGUCUGUGUUCUCCAGAGCCUAUGAAUCACCUGACAGUGCCAGUGCCAUGUAGUAGCUGCAGUGCACUGAGCCAAGCGAGGGAUUCAGGAGACAUUGCCCUGGCAAGCGCUGCCCUGUGUGUGCGUCCUCUGGCGAGGAGAGAAACUUUCCAUCGUGCUGCCCCUCCAGCCAUCUCAAGAGCAACAAAGGCCUGAGCCAGGCCAUAUAAACAGCAUAUGAAGACCAGACUGUUGCAAGCCCAUCAAGAGCUGAUGUUUGUUAUUUGUUGCUAAACUAGGUGAGUUCUUACCAAAAGAAUAGAAACCAGCAGUCAAGGGUCAUUCAUGAGAGCAAGAUCAUCUGCUCAGCUGAAGCAUUUACUGAGGAAGUACCUGUAACUCCGCUUGUGCACAACUUGCCUCUGUGGUUGCUUCUUUCCAGAGCCUCUUCCUGCCACCACGCUGGUGAGUCCCACGGCUGCUCACUCUGCAGUGCUCCUCAGGCACCUCCUGCACGUGAGCAUUAGACACUGAUCUCUAGACUCUCCAGGUAUUCCCAGCUGGUUUGUAAUGUCUCUUGUCAUU